GGCUUGGGCUCAGUGGAAGGGCUGCUGCUUUGCAUGCAUAAGGUCUCAGGUUCAACUCCUCAAAUCUCCC
rnacentral:tRNA from 1 species